rnacentral:rRNA from 1 species
AGUGAACGCUGGCGGUAGGCCUAACACAUGCAAGUCGAACGGCAGCACAGUAAGAGCUUGCUCUUACGGGUGGCGAGUGGCGGACGGGUGAGGAAUACAUCGGAAUCUACUUUUUCGUGGGGGAUAACGUAGGGAAACUUACGCUAAUACCGCAUACGACCUACGGGUGAAAGCAGGGGAUCUUCGGACCUUGCGCGAUUGAAUGAGCCGAUGUCGGAUUAGCUAGUUGGCGGGGUAAAGGCCCACCAAGGCGACGAUCCGUAGCUGGUCUGAGAGGAUGAUCAGCCACACUGGAACUGAGACACGGUCCAGACUCCUACGGGAGGCAGCAGUGGGGAAUAUUGGACAAUGGGCGCAAGCCUGAUCCAGCCAAACCGCGUGGGUGAAGAAGGCCUUCGGGUUGUAAAGCCCUUUUGUUGGGAAAGAAAAGCAGCAGGUUAAUACCCCGCUGUUCUGACGGUACCCAAAGAAUAAGCACCGGCUAACUUCGUGC